rnacentral:rRNA from 1 species
CUCCUGGAAACGGGUGGUAAUGCCGGAUGUUCCACAUGAGCGCAUGCGAGUGUGGGAAAGGCUUUUUGCGGCAUGGGAUGGGGUCGCGUCCUAUCAGCUUGUUGGUGGGGUAACGGCCUACCAAGGCGUUGACGGGUAGUCGGCCUGAGAGGGCGACCGGCCACAUUGGGACUGAGAUACGGCCCAGACUCCUACGGGAGGCAGCAGUGGGGAAUAUUGCACAAUGGGCGCAAGCCUGAUGCAGCGACGCCGCGUGCGGGAUGGAGGCCUUCGGGUUGUAAACCGCUUUUGUUCAAGGGCAAGGCACGGUUUCGGCCGUGUUGAGUGGAUUGUUCGAAUAAGCACCGGCUAACUACGUGCCAGCAGCCGCGGUAAUACGUAGGGUGCAAGCGUUAUCCGGAUUUAUUGGGCGUAAAGGGCUCGUAGGCGGUUCGUCGCGUCCGGUGUGAAAGUCCAUCGCUUAACGGUGGGUCCGCGCCGGGUACGGGCGGGCUUGAGUGCGGUAGGGGAGACUGGAAUUCCCGGUGUAACGGUGGAAUGUGUAGAUAUCGGGAAGAACACC